UACGUAGGGAGCAAGCGUUGUCCGGAAUCAUUGGGCGUAAAGCGCGCGUAGGUGGCCAUGUAAGUCCGCUGUGAAAGUCAAAGGCUCAACCUUUGAAAGCCGGUGGAUACUGCAUGGCUAGAGUACGGAAGAGGCGAGUGGAAUUCCUGGUGUAGCGGUGGAAUGCGCAGAUAUCAGGAGGAACACCAAUGGCGAAGGCAGCUCGCUGGGACGGUACUGACGCUGAGGCGCGAAAGCGUGGGGAGCAAACAGG
rnacentral:rRNA from 1 species